rnacentral:lncRNA from 1 species
GGGACUCAUGAAGAAGACCAUCUGGAACUAAGUUGAAGACUUAUUUCUCUCUCUCGAUUGCAAAGAAGAAUAUAAUUUAUGUUCCUAUGCUUCCGGUUACACAAGUUGUGUUGCGGCUUCUGAACUUGCUUUUGCAAAUUCCCCGCUUCUUAUGUAAUUGCUUAGUUCAUAAUAAAUUCCGGUGGAAGCCUGAGGCUUCUUCCAUUAUCAUCAAAAGAAAAAAAGUUCAUCCACGGAUCACUAUAUAUUCCUUUACACUUUUGUUAAUUUCUCCCGGGCAGAUUUAUUAGAGGCAAAGAGUUAUU